rnacentral:rRNA from 1 species
GACAGAGGGGGCAAGCGUUGCUCGGAAUUACUGGGCGUAAAGGGCGCGUAGGCGGGAUGGCAAGUCGGUCGUGAAAUCCUUCGGCUCAACCGAAGAACGUCGAUCGAUACUGCUGUUCUUGAGGGUUGCAGAGGAGACUGGAAUUCCCGGUGUAGCGGUGAAAUGUGUAGAGAUCGGGAAGAAUACCAGUGGCGAAGGCGUUCUGCUGGGCCGUUGCUGACGCUGAGGCGCGACAGCGUGGGGAGCAAACAGG